rfam:Gossypium arboreum cultivar AKA8401 contig_18512_3, whole genome shotgun sequence.
UAUUACAAAAUUAAUCUAUUUAUAUAAUUAAAAACUCACGUGACUGAUAGAAUAACUAAACAAUUACAUGUGGUGUGUUAUGCGUACCUCAUAUUGACGUAUAAGGAUUAAUUUUUAACAAUAGAAAUGAAUGAAAUUUUUAACA